GAUGAACGCUGGCGGCGUGCCUAAUACAUGCAAGUCGAGCGAACGGACGAGAAGCUUGCUUCUCUGAUGUUAGCGGCGGACGGGUGAGUAACACGUGGAUAACCUACCUAUAAGACUGGGAUAACUUCGGGAAACCGGAGCUAAUACCGGAUAAUAUUUUGAACCGCAUGGUUCAAAAGUGAAAGACGGUCUUGCUGUCACUUAUAGAUGGAUCCGCGCUGCAUUAGCUAGUUGGUAAGGUAACGGCUUACCAAGGCAACGAUGCAUAGCCGACCUGAGAGGGGGAUCGGCCACACUGGAACUGAGACACGGUCCAGACUCCGACGGGAGGCACAAGUAGGGAAACUUCCGCAAUGGGCGAAAGCCUGACGGAGCAACGCCGCGUGAGUGAUGAAGGGCUUCGGAUCGUAAAACUCUGUUAUUAGGGAAGAACAUAUGUGUAAGUAACUGUGCACAUCUUGACGGUAUAUAAUCAGAAAGCCACGGCUAACUACGUG
rnacentral:rRNA from 1 species